GUUUCCCGUAAGGCGCCGAACGCGUCAUUAUAAAAUUAACUUCGUCCGAUCCCUAGUCGGCAUAGAUUUAUGGUUAAGACUACGACGGUAUCUGAUCGUCUUCGAUCCCCUAACUUUCGUUCUUGAUUAAUGAAAACAUCCUUGGCAAAUGCUUUCGCAGUAGUUAGUCUUCAAUAAAUCCAAGAAUUUCACCUCUGACAAUUGAAUACUAAUGCCCCCAACUAUCCCUAUUAAUCAUUACGGUGAUCCUAGAAACCAACGAAAUAGAAUCAGUCCGUCCUAUUUCAUUAUUCCAUGCUAAUGUAUUCAGACGAUAGUCUGCUUUAAACACUCUAAUUUUUUCAAAGUAACAGUCCUGAUUUCCAACCACACCAAAUAAAUGGCAUGAAAGUUCCUCAGAAGGUAGAGAUCCAUCUCACCAGUGCAGACAAUUAAGCCUGACCAAUGGGUAGACCCCGAAGUUCAACUACGAGCUUUUUAACUGCAACAACUUUAAUAUACGCUAUUGGAGCUGGAAUUACCGCGGCUGCUGGCACCAGACUUGCCCUCCAA
rnacentral:rRNA from 1 species